AUUCAAUUGAUCAAGUAAUAACUGAAUUUUAGCAUGAACUGACGAAACCGUCCUUUAGAGUAUUGUACUCUAUUACUCUAUAUCAUUUAAGCGUGCUCGAUAAUCUAUCUAUCUAUAACACUAAUAGAGUACGCUAAAAUACCCCUUUUUUUUACACAUUUUUACUAUUCAUAUAAUUAGGCAAAAACACAUAAUCAAAACCAAAAAAAAAAAAAAAGUCGACUAUUUACUUUGGACGAUCUUGAACGCAGCCACUAAUGUCAUUACAAACGUCAAAUGUCACAUGUGACAAGUUAUUUUGAGAAGUUUUGAGGCUUGUUUUGUUUUGUUUGUGACUUUGCUUUUGUUUGUUUGGAAUACUUUUAUCCAUUCGUCAUGACGUGAUUGAUAAACAUGAUAACGCCGAUCAAGCAUCCUGUACUGAUAAUAAUAACGCAAGCACCCCAUCUAAAAAUUGAAAAGUUUUGACGAAGAAAAAGGACACAGAAGUACACACAACUUUGGGAAAAUGAGUUUUCAUGGCUAAGAAAAGACUCAGAAAGUGAUACAAAUGCAAAAUCCAUAAUCUGUGGCGAAGUUUUCUCUCUAUUCCAUCAGCUGGAGUUGGACACAUUCUGAGGAACAAUGAACAUACAGUGUAGCCGACCAAAAAUUCACCUAGCAACGUUGCCGCGUAGCAGACCAGCGUCAGACCAACAUUAAGUACAUCAAUACGAACAGCCGGAAUAUGGUUUACUAAUUACUUAUAGUCUCUUUGAGUUUUGUUUUUAAUUAUGAUUGCUAAGUGCAUUUAAUAUCACCGCAUAGAUAUAAUAACUUUAUUAAUUUUGCUAAUU